AGGAGCUCGGGUUCUGCCGGAAGGGGUGGGGCCGAGUGAGGUCAGGCUACAGCAGUGGGAGGGGCGUGAGGUCAGCCUGCGGCAGUUGGUGGCAUUCCCACACCCGUCAGGGGAGAGCCGCCUGCCUGAGAAGGAGGGCACUGCUGAGCCCAGGGGUUGAGAGCGACAGUUCCUGCCGUGGUCCCGGAGCUCCACCUGAGACUGGAGGGAAGCCAUCUGCCUGUUGAUCAAAGAAGAGAAGGAGAACACGGAGCAGCGGGCUGAGGAGACUGAGAGCAGGGAGGGCAGGGGGAGCUUAGGCAGCCUCCCUCGUUUUAAAUCAGUGAGCUCCCUCAACCUGCAUCCCGCCUCCUCAGGUGCCAGCUCCUGCCUGCCCCUGCCCAAGCCCAGAAGGAGGCAGCACCGCCCGGCACGGGAAGGAGACCGGCUGGGCAUCCUGACUCGGCUGCCAGCUUUACAGGAAGAGGUAGGAGAUGACAAGACCGCCAUCAAAUGUGAAACGUCGACCCCUGCCUCGCCGUGGUCCCUUCGGCUGGACCGCCUGCACACAGGGUCGCUGUGCACAGCCACCCACAGGGACAUCAGGGACGCCCACAACUCGACAGGCUCUCAGGACAACCCCGGGAACAACCCCAGCAGCAGCACCAGCAGGCAGGACUCGCUGCACAAAGCCCCGAAGAAGAAGGGCAUGAAGUCCUCCAUCGGCCGCUUGUUUUGCAAGAAGGAAAAGGGCCGGCUUGAAUACCCCGGCAAGGAGGCGUUAGGACCAGUGACACGUGUUUGGAAACAGCCUAAGUGCUCAUCAGUGAAUGGUGAAGUGCAAUCUGUGGACACCCCACAAGGAACAGCCUGCCCUCCUUCCUGCCACCUUCCCCAUCCCCAGGAGCUCAUCAGGGGUUCUGCUCGUGUCCCCUCACCCCACCCCACAGCCACGCAGGUCCUCCUGGGGUCCCCUCAUCACACAGGGUUAUCAUUAGGCCCUCAUCUCGCUUGGCUUCUUCUCCUUGAGGACAGGGUAUGUUCCUGCCUCCUCAGCCACAAAUUUGUUGAGUCUUGUUUGUGCUGGGUGUGGGAUUUACAGGGGUAAGUAGAGCAGAUGUGGUCUGGAGCACAGUUAAGUGACGAGAGAAAAAGGAGCAGGUUAUUAAAUGCUAUCCGUAUUGUUAAUAAAUACAACGCUGAGAUGGAUGGUACAUGAUUAUAUACCAGAUGCUGUGUGUGCUCCUUACCAAGCAGGUGCUGUCCCCUCCCAAUU
rnacentral:lncRNA from 1 species